CAGGGACACUGUGGGGAUUCUUCUGGAACUGACUGUGACCAGAAUCACGUGGAGUCCAACCCCAGCGAUAAGGCAGUUCUACAGUCCUAUGAGGCCCUGGCCACUGAGAUCUCCUCUCUACACUCAGUGUUGAAACAACAGUCUGACCUGGUGAAGAAGCUAGCAGCUAACAGACGAGCAUCACCCAACUCAACCACAUAUCCCUAAAGGUAGACUCUGUCAGCAUCACCCAACCACACAUCCCUCAAGGUACAC